rnacentral:rRNA from 1 species
GUGGAGCUAAUCCCUUAAAGCUACUCUCAGUUCGGAUUGUAGGCUGAAACUCGCCUACAUGAAGCUGGAGUUACUAGUAAUCGCAGAUCAGAAUGCUGCGGUGAAUGCGUUCCCGGGUCUUGUACACACCGCCCGUCACACCACGGGAGUUGGAGACGCCCGAAGCCGAUUAUCUAACCUUUUGGAAGAAGUCGUCGAAGGUGGAAUCAAUAACUGGGGUGAAGUCGUAACAAGGUAGCCGUAUCGGAAGGUGCGGCUGGAUCACCUCCUUU